rnacentral:rRNA from 1 species
UACAGAGGGUGCGAGCGUUGUUCGGAAUUACUGGGCGUAAAGCGCGCGCAGGCGGCUUCUUAAGUCCAUCGGUGAAAUGCCGGGGCUCAACCCCGUUGCAGGCCGAGGAUACUGGGAGGCUGGAGACGAGUAGAGGCAAGCGGAAUUCCGGGUGUAGCGGUGGAAUGCGUAGAGAUCCGGAAGAACACCGGAGGCGAAGGCGGCUUGCUGGGCUCGGUCUGACGCUGAGGCGCGAAAGCGUGGGGAGCGAACAGG